UACGUAGGGGGCGAGCGUUGUCCGGAGUUACUGGGCGUAAAGCGCACGUAGGCGGUCUUUUAAGUCGGGGGUGAAAUCCUGGAGCUCAACUCCAGAACUGCCUUCGAUACUGGAAGACUUGAGUCCGGGAGAGGUGAGUGGAACUGCGAGUGUAGAGGUGAAAUUCGUAGAUAUUCGCAAGAACACCAGUGGCGAAGGCGGCUCACUGGCCCAGUACUGACGCUGAGGUGCGAAAGCGUGGGGAGCAAACAGG
rnacentral:rRNA from 1 species